rnacentral:rRNA from 1 species
UACGGAGGGAGCUAGCGUUGUUCGGAAUUACUGGGCGUAAAGCGCACGUAGGCGGCUUUGUAAGUUAGAGGUGAAAGCCCGGAGCUCAACUCCGGAACUGCCUUUAAGACUGCAUCGCUUGAAUCCAGGAGAGGUGAGUGGAAUUCCGAGUGUAGAGGUGAAAUGCGUAGAUAUCUGGAGGAACAUCGGUGGCGAAGGCGACAUCCUGGACCGGUAUUGACGCUGAGGCGCGAAAGCUAGGGGAGCAAACGGG